UAAAGAGAAUCGUUCUUGUCUUCUUACUUCUAGUUGGCUUAUGGGUCUGUUGGAUGAUUGAGUAUUCUUCUCUUUGGGGCAAGUUUAUGCUAUUUUUACUUUGAAUUGCUUUGUGGAAUAAUUAAUUUUUCCAAAUUCUGUAGUUUCCCUGAUUUUUCAGUUUCCAUUUAGGUUUGUUUUUUUCUCUUUUUAACUGAAAACGUUUUUCUGCUUUAAGCACUAGUGUAGUUUAGUCAUAUCCUUAAUUAAUGUGUGAACUGAAUCCUUUAAUAUUUCUGCAUCCAUGUUUUUUCGAUUUCUUUUUGUAUGGUUGAGGUCAUAGAAAAACAUAGUUGUCUCACUUCUUCUUUUGAUAAAGUAAAGGAUAAAACUGUGUUAAGUAUAAUAUGAUUUGUUUGUACAGACUAGAGUUAACUUCUUUCUCUAGCUCUUAACAAAUAUUUAUUUAGCUUAUUCUUGCUCGACUUAACGUGUAACCUAAUUGUGAUUCACUGCAUCCGAGUUCACCUUCAAAGUUACCAUUUUGACUAGUUUGUUGGCAAGCAUCAAUCUGAAAAAAGGAUAGAGCUUGUACAUUCUUUUAACUUUGUCUUAUUUGACGUUUGAAUCUUGUCUAAUCUCUAUGGAUAAGUGUGUCGUGAUACUUGAAUAGAAAUUUUCUUGAUGCUAUUGUUUGUUUACAAUGAUGUCAUCAAAUCUCUUCAUUCAUGUGCCUCUCUUUGACAAUGAUGUACUCGAUAUUUGCUUGAGAUAGAAUCCAUCUUGUCUUAUAACUUUAUUAUGUAGGUGCCAAGGAGCUAAAAAUUGACUUUUAGAAGAAUCAAAAUCACCUAGUUUUGAAAUAUGUUUUCAUAGUAUGUACUGAAGAUCCAUUAUGGAAACAUUCUCUAGUUCAAUAGCUAUCUAUCAUAAGAAGUCUGUCCUGUAGCUAUCUGUGUUUUUUUGAAGUUUGCUUUUACUUGAAAGCCAAAUAACAAUAUAUAUAAAUCAACCCAUCAUUACAUAUUUUGGCUAUUCAUUUUACAAGGUAACAAAAUUGAUAACGAUUUCAUUUUGUUUGCACUGUACAUAAGUUUAGUAUUUUUGAAUGAAAAUAGGGAAGGCAACAAGAAAGUUAUUAAUCUCUAGCCUUAACUUUAAUUAUAAGUCCCUGUCCCUGUAAAAUCUAGUCAUAGGUCACUAUGUAUAUCCUUGCAACAACUAUUCCCUGAAUAUGAUUGUCUCUGCUUAGAAUUGGUUCAUGUAUUAACUGGUUUUAGGAUUCUCUAAGACAACCAAAUCACUUCUUAGUAGAUGGUUAUUGUUUCCUUAUCUGAUGCAUAGUGGAUUCUCAAAGAUGACCACAAUUAUAACUUAUAUUGUCGUGUUAAAUUGACAGCUCCUCUUCAUACAACUCAUCUUCACCUUGCUGCGACUAAUAAUCUGGAAACAUUCUUGAAGGUAAGUUUGGAUUCUUAUAACUAUGAAUUUGUUUGUGAAAUGCCUCAUUUUUCUCAAAUCUAAACUUGUAUUGUAUGAUUCCAUAUCAGUUUUUUUUUUCUGUUUUUUGUGUCUGUGCAAUUGAGCAUAUUAGUGGUAAGCAUAUAUGUUGAAUGUACUAUUGUGAGAAUUCUUGUUAGUAUACUUGAUUGAAAAUAAAAUGAGGUGGGAUAAUGAUUGUUGUUAUAGAAAAGUGAUUUGCAUCUCAUUCUGUAAAGAAUGGACUGCAACUGAAACUUGGAAGCAAGUUGUUGUUUAUUGACUUGAUAAGCAGUAGGAAAUAGGAAGAAAAAUGGAUUAUCUUCAUCAUAAAGAAUGGAUUCUCUUAAGACAACCACAUCAGUUCUUAAUAAAUGGUUAUUGUUUUACUUAUCUGAUGCAUAGUGGAUUCUCUAAGACAACCACAGUUAUAACUUAUAUUGUCGUGUUAAAUUGACAGCUUCUCUUCAUACUGUUCAUCUUUACCUUGCUGAGACUAAUAAUCUGGACACAUUCUUGGAAUUUCCAUCUCUUUAAAGGUAAGUUUGGAUUCUUAUAACUAUUAAUUUAUUUGUGAAAUGCCUCUUUUUUCUCAAAUCUGAACUUGUACUGUAUGAUUUCAUAUCAGUUUUUUUUCUAUUUUGGUGUCUGUGCGGUUGAGCAUAUUAGUAGUAAGCAUAUAUAUAUGUUGAAUGUCCUAAUGUGAGAACUCUUGUUAGUAUACUUGAUUGAAAAUAAAAUGAGGUGAGAUGAUGACUGUUAUUGUAGAAAAGUCAUUUGCAUCUCAUUCUGUAAAGAAUGGAUUGCAACUGAAUCUUGGAAGCAAGUUGUUGUUUUUAUUGACUUGAAUAGCAGUAGGAAAUAGGAAUAAAAAUUCUCGUUUAAGUGCACUAAUACCACAUAUUAAAUAACUGCCAAGUGUAUAAGUAUAUUCCAAACCACGGUAUUCAUUCUUUGUGCAUGUAGUUUGUUUUUUUCCCAUUCUAUGAUGAAGUCUUUUUGCUUAAACAAGACUAUUGUUUCAUCUUUUCCAUUUAUCCUUAACUUGUCUCCUACUGUCUUGAUUGUAUUUCCACAUUAAUGAAAUGAAAUAGGCCUGCUUGUAGUUGGAUUAAUGUGCAAAUGUGUGCCUAUUAUUCUGUCUCUUGCGAUAGCUUUUGUGAAUGGAAACUAAUAUAGAGUGUUUCAAGAGAUUUUGGAAUAUGAAAGUUCAUUCUAAAAAUUAAAAAGAGAGCUGAAAGAUUGCUGCAAAAAUGAAUACAAUGUAAUCUUUUAGGACUGAAAGGUUUAGUGUAAGUAAAUAUACUGUAUACAAGAAAAGUUAGAUAGACAACAUGAUUUGAAUCUGAUUUGUCUAAGUUGUUUACUGAUUCAAAUAUUGAGUUGAUGUUAUACAUGAAGGUAUGUUUGGGGUACACAUAGGUGUGUUAGAUACACUGAUUUUGUUAGGAGAAAACUAAUUCAGUUAGUACUAUACUUGCUUUUGCUAGCUUGAUGACUUAAACCUUAAAAAAAUAAAAUUACACAAGCGUACGUAUAUACUCACUGUUUGAUUAAUUGAACAUUAGAACAAAAAGAUAGUAACAUUAAAUAAACAUAGUAUUACAUUUUAUUCAAAACAAAAUUUUAGUUCUUACUCUUUUUUGUUGUUAUACUAAUAUGAUUGUUAUGUAUUUUUCGUGAUUCAAGACUAUGGCACCUAAUAAAGAAUGGAUGCAACUUUUUGAUGAUCGACUUGAUAAUGCUUAUGUGCUUGGGGUGGAGAAAUUUUUGAAUUAUGCUUUUACAAAGUUAGGAGAAAAAAAAGAAAUACGUUGUCCAUGUAUGAAAUGUUGUAAUGCAUCUUCAAGAACUCGUGAGAUGGUUAGGUCACAUUUAUUGGUACAUGGAAUUGUCCGAAGUAAUACUUUUUGGUAUCAUCAUGGGAAGAGGUUACAUGAACCAGAAUCAGAUUCUGAAUUUGUAGACCAUAAUGACAUUGAAAGGGAUGAUGAGGAGGAUGAAAUACAUGAGAUUUUAGGGGAUUUAUAUCCUAAUUUGAAUGAAGUCAAUAUGAACACUGGUGGUGAUGAUAUUUUUGAGGAGGAACCAAAUCCUGAAGCAAAACGAUUCUAUAGUCAUUUAAAAGAUUUUGAGCAACCAAUCUAUGAAGGUUCCAAAGCUUCUAAACUUUCUACUUUGGUCAAAUUACUUCAUAUAAAAAGUAUUGGUAAAUGGAGUAGUGCGUCAUUUACAAUGUUGUUGAAGAUGCUGAAGGAAGAUUUAUUGCCAAAUGGAUCAAAUUUGCCAAGUUCAUAUUACAAUGCAAAAAAGAUAAUUCGGGAGCUUGGAUUUUCUUACCAGAAAAUUGAUGCAUGUAAGAAUAAUUGCAUGUUGUAUUGGAAGGAUGACGUGCUUCUUGAAUCUUGCAAAGUAUGUGGAAUGUCUAGAUGGAAGGAGGAUAAACGUAAUAGGGAAACAAAAUUUAAGCGUGGGAAAAAGAUACCAUGCAAGAUUUUGUGUUAUUUUCCUCUAAAGCCAAGACUUCAAAGACUGUUUGUCUUCAAAAAAAUCUUCUUUGAUGAGGUGGCAUCAUGAUGAGAGAGUUGAUGAUGGAAUAAUGAGGCAUCCUGCUGAUUCAGUAGCUUGGAAGACACUGGAUGAACUUCACCCAUCUUUUGCUACUGAACCGCGUAAUGUUCGACUUGGACUUGCUAGUGAUGGUUUUCAACCUUUUAAAAGUACAAAAACUCCACAUAACAUUUGGCCUGUGGUAUUGAUUCCUUAUAACGUACCACCUUGGUUAUGCAUGAAGCAAGAAAAUUUUAUUUUAUCGAUGCUUAUUCCAGGCCCUAAAAGUCCCGGAGAUGCAAUUGAUGUUUAUUUCCAACCUUUGAUAGAAGAAUUAAAGGAAUUGUGGGAAACUGGUGUGAAGACCUUCGAUGCAUCAUCUAGACAAAAUUUUAUGUUACAUGCAUCUUUGUUAUGGACCAUUAAUGACUUUCCUGCGUAUGCAAAUUUGUCAGGAUGGAGUACCAAAGGAAAAUUGGCUUGCCCAUGUUGUAAUAAAGAAACUCUUUCAAUUUGGUUGAAAAAUGGGAAUAAACAGUGUUAUAUGCGCCAUAGACGCUUUCUUCCUCGUAUUAACAAAUGGAGGAAUGAUAAAGAUUCUUUUGAUGGCACUAAAGAGCAUAAAUUACCACCAAAAAUGCUAUCUGGUAAUGAUAUACUUGAUCAAGUGGCUGAUUUAGAUGGUAACAUACUAUCAAAGGAUCCAAAGAAAGAGACUAAAAUAUCACAUGAUAAUACGGGUGAUAAUUGGAAUAAGAAGAGCAUUUUCUUUGAUCUUCCAUAUUGGAAAACUCUAUUGUUGCGAGAUAACUUAGAUGUGAUGCACAUUGAGAAAAAUAUAUGUGAUAACAUUUUGGGAACAAUCUUAAAUGUCAAAGGAAAAACCAAAGAUACCAUAAAUUCUCGAUUGGAUUUGGAAGUAAUAGACAUAAAGAAAGAAUUGCAUCCGAUAAAAAAGGGGGAUAAAUAUGAGUUACCAACUGCAUGUUAACAUUAUCACCUGAAGAGAAGCAUAAAUUUUUCAAUUUCUUAAAGAAUUUGAAGGUCCCAGAUGGAUUUUUAUCCAAUAAAUCUCAGUGUGUCAAUCUUAAAGAUCGCAAACUUUCAGGAUUGAAAAGUCAUGAUUGCCACGUUAUUCUACAACAUCUACUCCCACUUGCAAUACGUGGUAUGCUUCGCAAAUAUGUACUUGAACCACUUAUUGAGUUGUCUAUAUUUUUCAACAUGCUCGGAGCAAAAUGUUUGAGAGUAGAUGAGCUAGAGAAAAUAGAAGCCCAAAUUCCUAUAACUCUAUGCAAGUUAGAAAAGGUUUUCAUUCCUGCAACGGAAUGUAUGACUUUAUGUUCAAGGUAUUUGCAUACGGUGGAAACAAGAUUUAAUCGCACUGAGCGGAAUUAUAAUGGCGGUUCUAUUGAAUCUGAUGGAGGUUUAACAAUUUUUUUUCAACUUGGAAAAACUUUAAAUAGUGCCACACCAGGAAGUCUUGAAUCAGACGAAUUUGAGCAGGCACACUUUUAUAUUCUAAAGAAUUGUGAUGAAAUUCAACAAUUUCUUGAGUAAGUAAUAACUAAUUCAAAUAAUUGACUUUUACCUUUCCAUAUUUCCAUACUUAAAAUGACAUAUUAUACUUUAAAUUCUUUGUAGAGAAUUUUCACAAGUUCCAUUUGAUACCUCUAAGAAUGAUUCAGAGAUCGAAUGGAAUAGACAAUUCAUUAGUUGGUUACAAAUUAAGGUGAGUAGUUAAGAUUUUAUAUUUUAAAUUAAUUUGCGAAUAACAUUUGCUAAAUUGUGUAUACAUACUUAGUUUGAUAGGUUGCAGAAUUGCGCAAACAUGAUGAUAGUAAGCAAAUAGAAUAUUUGUUCUCACUGUCACGUGGUCCUCUGCCAUAUGUGACAAGUUUCAAAAGCUAUGUUACUAAUGGAUAUAGAUUUCAAGUGCAAGACCAUGAUAAAGGCUUGAGAACUCAAAAUUGCGAGGUGAUUGUAGUUGGUGAGACUGAUGAAGAGAAUAAAACUAUUGAUUACUAUGGAGAGUUAACUGAAAUUCUUGAAUUACAAUUUGUUGGUGGAAGAAGAGUGAUGUUGUUUCGAUGUGCAUGGUUUGAUGUGUAUGACCAAGAAAGGGAAUUAAAGUAGAUGAAUAUGGCUUCGUAAGUGUUUACCGAAAAUGAUUAUUGAAAGUAAAUGAGCCUUUUGUAUUAGCCAACCAAGCAUCACAAGUAUUUUAUGUUGACAAUCUUUCGAAUAAAGGAUGGCAUGUUGUGCGAAAGGUUCAACCUCGUGAUUCUUUUGAUGUUGGUGAAAACACUAAUGGUGAUUUAGAUAAUCUGUCAGAAAUCUAGGAAGUUGUUGGGUAUGGAAGAGUUAGUUGAAGCAAUUACAAGGAUGGUUGUUAGUCUCUCAUAAUAAUUUAAUGGAUUGAUGGAAUUUAUUGAUUUUAUAAGUUUCACUUUAUGAUUUUCAUUUUAGGAUAUUAUAUUUUGUUACUGUGUACUCAUGUUAGACUUUUGAGUUCUCAUUUUGUUACUAUGGUGUUUAUGGAUCCCAAAAUACUCUUCGCUGUUUUGUUUUCUCUUUUCAAGUAUUUACUUCAUGAUUUUUUGAUUGAUUCUUACAUAUGAUUCUAUAUUAAAGUAUUUUCUUUAUUGUUCUCUUACUGAUUUUUACAGAUUUGUUCUUAGUGUCUGUUUAGAUAAUAAUUCUUGUAUAGUAUUUAGCAAGGUGUAGAUCAUCUCUUAGAGAAUGUUGAAAGAUGGUCAUUAAUUGACUCACAACUUACAUGAACAGAAGCCCUUGAUGCCUCUAGAAAAUAUGUUUUUAGGUAAGUUUUUAAGAAACAAAACCUCAUGAAAACUUAUUACUAGAACUAAAUUAGUUAUUUUAUUAUGGUGUUGUCUUAUGCGGUUCAGUUGCCACAAAGUACCUAUAGUUUUGCCAAUAAGAUAACAUGAAUCAAGUAUGAUAGUUUAGAUGAUUUUUAACCUCACUUUAUGUACUCUCCUGUAUAUGGUGGACUUGUUGGAGUAAAAGAACAAAAGGCAAUACUCCAGAAUCAGUACAAAGAUUAAAUGGUACUGCAUGAGAACAUUUUGUUUUUUUUUUUGUGUAAAGAGGAUAGUCUAUCAUUGAUGCAUAACAACUUUACAAAUUGCUAUUAUGCGUAUAUAAGGCAUGAAACAAAUCAAACUUCUUCCAAAAAUCAUAACAUAAGCUCUACAAAAGUUCUAACCCCUAAAACCCUAAAAUACAACAAAAUCCAAAAUCAAACACCCAAAACAACUGCAAAAAAAAACAUAUAAUAACAAGUUAACAAACUUACAACUAUAGAGUGAAAUGUGAACUCAAACACCUCAGAAAAAACCAAAAACAAAUUGUAGUAAUCAACAAUGGAAUAGGACCAAGAGAGAGUAUGAGGGUUUGGUUGAAAUGAAAAAGAAAGAAAUGGAGGUAUGAAAUAAAAAAGAAAUUCGUUUUAACAUGUCAUUUCCUAUGUAACUUUUUAAAAUUAUGUGGAAAGCUUCGUGGAUGCGUUUGUAAUUUACGCACCACUACGUAGUUCAAAAAGGGUUUAAAAUGUUCUGUUUCACUGGGUUCGAGGAUUCAGUUGGCAAAGUGGUGAGUAGAAGGGUUUAGGUGACAAAUGAAGUCAAUUACAUGGGCCUCCCUCACCAUUCUGCCUUGUCACAACCCAAAGUAUAUCCUAGGCGUAACAUGGCGUGUAGGUCCUCGAGAGGCCCCACACAAGCCACUAAGCAUGCAUAAACAAGAUACUAGAAAAUCAAGAGAUUUUAAAAGACAAUUCAUAUCAUAAAGAUUUUUGUAAAAGAAAGCGGAAAUUUAUAUAGUCUUAAAGUCAUCUAUCAAUCAACAACAAUCGGGACGUAACCCUGGCAUAACGUACAACAUUUGAAAUGUAAAGACAAAAUGCAAUAAUAGGUUUGAUCCUCGAAACACGAGGACUCACCAAUGUUCAAUAGCUACUAAGUGAUCCCUAGUCACAGAGAUGGGAAGCUGGAGUGUCAGACCCUACAUUUGGGAACAAUGUAGGCAAGAGUAUUCAUGAGUACAAGAAUGUACCACGUAUGAUAGCAAUGCAUAGAGCUACAAAAUCAUGCUAAAAAAACAUUUCAUGUCAUGCAAAGACCAAGUUAAAACAAUAAGAAAAAAGUUAGAAAACAUCAUAGUAAUCAUGGUCAAAUGCAAGUAAAACUCAUCUUUGCACACUUGUGAGAUACUUCUUGAAGUAGCCUUUAUUUUGUAGGAAAAACAGAGGUUCUUUAACUACAAAACUUAGAGCUGAUGAAAGAAGAUGAAGGAAAUACUUUGUAGAAGUGCUUACUUUAUUAACUGGAAAUAUCUGCCUUUAUAGGCUUACAGACUCUGGAAGAUAAUAAAUGUCCAUGACUUCCACUUGACCAGAAACUAGGAAAGUGACAGAAAAAUAGCAACCAAAUAACAACCUAACAAAGACUCUUUCAACUCUUGUAAAAGACUUAUUCAAACUCAUAGUAAAUAAUCAGUAACUUAGUAACUUAGACUCUUUUUUUUAAUCAAUUCUCAACACUCCCCCUUGAUUCAAAAUCACAUACUCCAAGGUAUAACAUAAAGUAAUUGUGCUUUUCCUGAGGAAGUGCUUUAGUAAGAAUAUCUGCCACCUGUUCUUCUGUGCUACAACUCUUCAACUCAAUCACCCCUUCUGCAACCAGAUCACAGAUGAAAUGAUGCCGAAUAUCUAUGUGCUUUGAUCUUCCAUGACAAACAUGAUUUUUGACCAAUGCAUUUGCUGAUAAAUUAUCACAAAAAAUUUUUGCUGCUCCCUUUUGUUCUUGGUGAAGAUCAGCAAGCAAUUUCCUCAGCCACAACACUUGACAUGUUGAAAAUGCUGUUGCAACAUAUUCAGCCUCGGAAGAAGACACCAAUGUUGUUGAUUGUUUCUUUGAGCUCCAAGUAAUAGCUGCAGAACCAAGAGUGAAAAGGUUCCCAGAAACACUCUUUCUAUCGUUCACAUUCCCCGCCCAAUCACUAUCUGAAAAAUCAUAGAGAUUAAAAUUAGUACUUCGAAAGUACCAUAGUCCAAAUCCUGUAGUUCCAACAACAUAGCGCAAGACUCUUUUAGCUGCACCAAGAUAAUGCUUCGAAGGCAUAUGAAUAAACCUUGAAAUGAUUCCAACAGAAAAUGAUAUAUCAGGACGAGUGUGCGUCAAAUAAAUUAAGCCUCCAACUAAACUUCUAAAAUAACUUCCUUUAGCUUUUUCAAUACCAUCAUCAAGUUGCAGCUUCUCAUUUACAUUCAUAGGAGUAGCCACUGUUUUGUAGUUAAGCAUGUUAAAUCUUUGAGAAGAUCAGUGGCAUACGUCCUUUGAGAUAUGAAAAUUCCAUCUUCUUCCUGCUUCCCUUCAAGUCCAAGAAAAUAAUGCAACACUCCCAAAUUUGUCAUUUCAAAUGUUUUCAUCAUAGAAGAUUUGAAAUCAUAUACAUAAGACUAAGAUGAACCCAUAUAGAUCCUAUCAUCAACAUACAAACACACCAAUAAUAGAUCAUUUUUUUCAUAUUUCUUCACAUAUAAAGUUGGUUCAUUCUUACUUCUUUCAAAACCAUUUUCUCUGCAAUGUGAAUCGAUUUUGUUGUACCAUGUGCAAGGAGCUUGUUUUAGCCCAUAGAGUGAUUUCCUCAACUUGUAUACUUUGCUAUCCUUUCCUUUCUCCACAUAACCAUCUAGAUGCGUUACAUACACUUCUUCUUCCAAAUCACCAUUAUGGAAUGUAGACUUAACAUCAAAUUGAUAAACCUUUCGCUUUAAUUGUACAGCCAAAGCUAAAAGGAUUCUUACUAUUUCAAAGCGAGCAACUGGAGAGAAAGAUUUGUCAAAGUCAAUGCCUUGUUGUUGUGAAUAUCCUUUUGCGACCAAUCUGGCUUUGUGUUUCUGCACACUUCCGUCAAAAUGGUACUUUGUCUUGAACACCUAUUUUUCUCCGAUAACAUUUUUUCCAUCUGGAAGGUCCACCAAGUCCCAUGUCCCAUUUUUCCUUAUUGCCAUAAGCUCUUCUUCCAUUGCACACCUCCAUUCCAUUUUUGUUGAAGCUUCCUGAAAGCUAGUUGGGUCUGCACCAAAUAGAGCAAAGGUACAUGUUUCAGAAAUAUCUGAAAGUGAUCUAAACUUCCGUGGAGGAGUUUCACUAGAACCUUCUGAGUCAGGCACCAUCAAUGUUGGGCUUCUACACCUUGGACUUGUGUCGCUGGAGUUUCCUAAAAAGUGGUUUGGUGUAUUAGUAAGAGACUGACUAUUACCAAGAGAUUGACUUUGUAUUAGUAAGAGACUGACUAUUACCAAGAGAUUAACUUACUUCUUCACUAGGAAAGGCUUCAUCUUCCAAUGUAACUUGUGAACUUUUAUUGUUGUUGUCCCAUUUCCAGCAAGUGUUUUCAUCAAAUACAACGUCUUUCCUGAUAAUCACCUUACCAUUUGUGGGAUUAUACAAUCUAAAAGCCUUAGAUUCAGAACAAUAUCCGGAAAAGAUGAAUUUUUCAUACUUUUCAUCAAGCGUUUUAUGAUGUUGAGAAUUUAUUAGAGCAUAUGCAAUACAACCAAAAAUUCUCAAAUAACUUACCCAUGGCUUUAUACCUUUCCGGAUUUCAAAAGGUGUUCGACCCAUGACUGCUUUGGUCGGAGAGAUAUUAAGCAGAUAAACUGCAGUAUGAACAGCCUCAGCCCAAAACUGAAUUGGAAGAUCUUUACUCUUUAACAUGCUCCUGGCCAUCUCCACUACAGUUCGGUUCUUCCGCUCAUCAAUCCCAUUUUACUCCGGAGUGUAAGGUGUAGUCAAUUCCCUGUGAAUUCCAUCUUCUUCAAAAAAUAACUUAAAUUCUUAUGAUAAGAACUCACCUCCCUUGUCGGUACACAGAACCUUAACUUUGUUACCAACUUGGUUUUCAACCAAUGCCUUGAAUUUUUUGAAGCUUGCAAAAGUUUCUGAUUUGAGUUUCAAAAAAUAUACCCAACUCAUCCGACUGUAUUCAUUAGUUAGUAACAGAAAAUAUCGAGAACCAGCAAGCGAUUCUAUGUUCAUAGGACCACACAAAUCUGCAUGAACAAUUUCAAGAUAGCUAGUAGCUCGUAAGGAUCUUCCAAUAGGAAAAUAAUUUCUAUGUUGUUUGCCAUAUAUACAACCUUCACAUGUAUUUUCAACGGAUCCUAUAUUUGGCAAACCAUGAACCAUCUUAUUUUGACUUUGCAAUCUCAAUCCAUUCAUGUUCAAAUGUCCAUAACGCAAAUGCCACAACUUAGAUUCGUCAAGAUUUUUCUCACUAACAAUCAAGGCUUGUUCAACUUUUGUAACUUCAAAUGGACACAUUUUAUUAACUAUCAUGUGAAUAUUUGCUAAGAUUUGACCAGAUUUCUUAUUCUUAAUAACACAUGAGUCAUCAUCAAACAAGACAGAGAAUCCACAACUCACAAUUUCCCAACACUUAGUAAGUUAUUUGCCAAACUAGGAGCAAAUAACACAUUUUGAAUAAGUUCACUUUACCUUGACUAGUCUGGACAGCAAUAGUAGCUUCACCUUCGACUUGAAUUUCCUUGGUAUCACCAAGCCAAAUUCGCCUUUUUUUUUGUCUCAUCUAACACUUUAAAUCCUUUUCUUUCACCGGUCCAUCACUAUCCACAAACCAAACAUCAGUCUUGUAAUCUAUGGUGGUAGAGCGAGCCAUGAAAAGCAUGUUUUCUUCUUCCUCUUCCUCGGCAUAACUAGCUUGAUCAUUUUUAUACCAAUAGUUAGCUUCUAUAUGGCAAAACCUAUGCCAAUUGUAACACUGCACUCCACUUCUGCGACUAUUUGGCCACCCAGAUUGGCUUCUACCUCUACCACGUCCUUUGCCUCUAAAAGAGCCUCUGCCACAUCCUCGUGCCCCUUGUUCUAACGACUUCUCAUUUUUAAUUGGAUGCUCUUCCUUCACUUGAAAAGCUUAUUCUCCAGUUAUCUCUGUUGACUUAUUGAUCCGUGACUCAUGAGAUUGCAAAGAGCCCAUUAGUUCAUCAAAUGAAAACAUAGAUAAGUCUUUUUGAUUCCUCUAUGGCUGCAACCACAUGAUCAAACUUUGGAGGUAAACUUCUUAAAACUUUUGAAAACUACAAUUUUAUCACCUAUCUCUUCACCAUAUGAUUUCAUUUGACUUACAAUUCCACUAACUCUUGAUAAAAAGUCUUGCACAGAUUCAUUGUUUUUCAUGAACAAUGUUUCUAAAUCACGACGAAGAGAUUGUAGUUUCAUAGUAAUUACUUUUGAGGAACCUUGAAACUCAGUUUUCAAAAUCAGCCAAGCAUCUGUUGAGGUAGUAGUUGCUGCAAUUCUUGAGAAGAUUGUCUCAUGAACGGCUUGUUGAAUAAAGAACAAAGCUUUUGCAUCCUUCUUUCUGAUUUCUUUUAAUCUCUUCUCUUCCUCUGUAUCCAACUCUACUACAUUAGUGAACCCAUCUUCGAUCAAGUCCCACAAUUCUUGAGACCUAAACAAGGUCUUCAUCUUGAUGCUCCAAAACUCAUACUUCUCACCAUUAAAGAUGGGUAUGAGGGGUUGUGAAGAAGAGGAUAUACCAUUUGCUGCCAUAACCUUUUUUUCCUUCUUAAACUUCACUCCCUGGUUUUUUCUUUUCUCUUUAUCGCCCAGUCAAAGACAAAACGCUUGCUCUGAUAUCACAAUGUAGGAAAAACAGAGAUUCUUUAACUACAAAACUUAGAGCUGCACAAAGAAGAUGAAGGAAAUACUUUGUAGAAGUGCUUAUUUAUUAACUGGAAAUAUCUGCCUUUAUAGGCUUACAGACUCUGGAAGAUAAUAUCUGUCCAUGACUUCCACUUGACUAGAAACUAGGAAAGUGCCAGAAAAAUAGCAACCAAAUAACAACCUAACAAAGACUCUUUCAACUCUAGUAAAAAACUUAUUCAAACUCACAGUAAAUAAUCAAUCACUUAGUGACUUAGACUCUUUUUUUAAUCAAUUCUUAACAAGUUCAUCAUUAUUAAUGUAGGAAGUAGCCUUAACUUACAUAGAGACCAUGCAAGCUAUAACAUGGAAUCUGGUGUCUGCCCCACACCGAAAUGGGUUGUUCUUACUAUCAAGGUAAGAACCUAAACUUCUGGCUAAUGUCUAUCUAAGACAGUCAUCCUAUAGGGGCACAUAAGUAUGGGAUAACCAUAUAGCUACUAGAAACACGACCUCUAGCUACGGGAGAGCUUCAAUCUCAAUAUCCUCUCAGUUCUAAGCAUAAAUCCCACGGAAUAGUUAUAAAUAAUUACUUGACUUAUCUUUCAUGGAAGGCACAUCAAAUAGCCAAUCCAAUCCAAGUUUCUUUAGAAUAUCUCGUAAAUCUUGAUUCUCGGCCCUCUUGGAUCCGAUAGGAGCAGGAGUAGGUAAGUUAGUAUCGAUCCGGUGAAGAAAAGAGAAUUUUGUUAAGUUAACUUGAGAAAACCUUUCAACUCUAAGAAUCCUUAUGUGAGAAAAUCCUUUGACAUUCAGUAUUAAGUAGUAUGUGAGAAAUCCUUUCACAACUAUAAAACUAACAACAUUUACGUGUUACUCUCAGAGUAACUUAAAUGACAUUUCAUCAAUUUCAUAAAGAACAUGCAUAUCUUCAUAAACUCAUAUUUCAUAGAUCAAAACCCACAUUAUAUCAUCAUAGCUUAGGAAACAUGGGUUAUGCAUGGGUUCAUGGGGAUUCAUCUUUAAAAAUUGUAAUUAUAUCAACUCAUGCAUAAUACUUCAUAAAACAAUCAAUUGAAUCAACAUUUAAAUGAACCCAUGACAUACAAGAAAACCCUAACUUCAAUUGGAGAUUUCUAAAUUUGUAAAUUGAAGAAUUUAGGAACUCUAUGGAGGAAAGAGCUCCAUAGAUGAAGACUAUGAUACCUUGAUGCCAAGAGCUUGCAAUCAAUGGAGGAUUAAGAGACUUGAUCUUGAAAACCCUAGCUUGACUUCUUCUUUUAGAGAGAGAAAUAUUUGGGGGAAGAACUUGGAGGGAUUUGGGGAAAUUUAAAUAGUGGUUUAGAAUGGUUAAACUUUACGCUUAAAAGACAUAUAUGGUCUAGGAUUAGGAUUAAAACGACCUAGUUUAUGUUGUAGAUGCCUAGGAAAAGACCUAUAUACCAUUGAACAAAUUACUGACGGGACCCUUUCACGAAAGCCUUUCACCGGCCAUUCAUCGAUUCACGGCCCGCGAAGGCUAUCGUAAGCAAGCGGCCAAGAUUUUUUUUCUAAGUCGAUCUCUACGGAUGGGUCUACCAUUCGUGGACCCUUCUACUAGCUAUGAACCUGUCCGUGAAUCAUUGCCUUAGAUUAAUUUUCACAAGGCUUGGGUUCAAGGAUGGGUUCACUAACCGUGGACUCUUCCACCGUCCUUGAACCCUUCCUUAGACCAUUGCCUUAUAAUAUUUUUUACAAGACUUGGAUUCAAAGAUGUGUUCACUAACCGUGGACUCUUCUACCAUCCUUGAACCCAUCCUUAGACCCUUGCCUUAGAAUAUUUUUCACAAGGCUUGGGUUCAAGGAUGAGUUCAUUGACCGUGGACUUUUCGAGCGUCCUUGAACCUUUCCUUUGACCCUAGCCUUAGAAUAUUAUUCACAAGGCUUGGGUUCAAGGAUGGGUUCACUGACCGUGGAUUCUUCCACCAUCCUUGAACCCUUCCUUAGAACCUUUCACCAUUGUUGAACCCUUUCUUACAGGUCUUUUUUUUCUGAGGUGUUACAUACCUUUUACUUAAUGUCACACUACGACCCUACAUCCUUGACCUGACCGACGCUUGAGAACCAUUAUUGGCCCCCAAGCGAACCCUUAGCCUCUCUACUUAGGGGAAGACUUACUCAAGCGAGAAUAUGCUUAAAACAGAAUUUAGAAUAUUUAAAUUCAAAACAAAUACUCAACUAAAACUGCUUAUAAAAUACUCUAUCACAGAAGUAAAAUAAUUUGCAAAAAAACAAAGGAGGUUCCUCAACUCUAGCUUUCUAUGAAGCCUUUAUUAUUCAAGUUGAAUGUCGAGACAAGACUCACGACAUCUCAAGAAAACUGACUAGAACAUAAAUCUGAAGUCCUCCAGAAUGAAAGGAGGUUCACCCAAUCUAUCUAAAGUGCCAAGUGAUCUCAACAAAGAGCCUAUUUAUAAUGCUAAACACAUGUAUCUACAUCAUAAAAAGAUGCAGGUGAAAAGUCAUUGGUACAUAUAAUGUACGAGUAUGUAAUAUAGGUGAAUGGAUAAAUAGCUGGACUAAUAAGGCUGAAAGAAUUAUUUCCCCGACUCAAUUCAAUACAAGCAAUGAUAAGAGAUGAAUAUAUUUAAAGAAUCAUAAAUAAAUGAUUUUAAAUCGUGGAUCUAUAUAAAAAUACAAUAGAAAUAAUCUUUACUCUUAAUUGUGAGAUUCUCUAACAAACAACCAUCACUAUGAGCUACGUGAUGAUACAGUGUCUCGCCCACGAUGCCAGAACUGUCAUAUGCCUUGUCGGGGUAUUGAACACUUCAACUAAGUGGAUCCACUAAACCUCUGCUUGAAAGCGAUAAGGUGUCUCUAAAAAGUACGAUAACUUACCUAUGUAAGAUGUGCAUUAAGAUUAAGAUGUCGUAAUCUGAAUGUGCAUCUGAAUAUUAAGAUGUAGUUUCUAGGUAUAAACAGUCAAUCAUUAAGAUUAAACAUUUUUAAUAUCUGAAUGUGCAUAACUUAUUUUAUUUUAAAAUUAAGAAUUAAACACUGUAUCAAUAAAAGUUAUAAUCCAAACCAAAGUUAACUUCUUCCAAAAAAUUGUUUCAAAAAUAAGUUUAUAAGCCACCCUAGAAAAAAAAUUAUUCAUUUGUUUUCUCAAAGAAUUUUUUCUCAAGAAACAAUGAUAACUUGUUUAACAACAAAGGAAUUGUGAAAAUAAGAGUUAUUCAUAAAUAUCAAUUGACCCAAGAAUAUUGUAUAUAUUAAAAGCAUUAGAUAAAUACUUGUAAAAGAUUAUGAAAACUUAUUUAUUAAAAAAAAUAGUACUUGGUUGGAAAGGGAGAAGAAGAAACUUGAAACUUGCCCAGAAGAGAAGCAAGGAAGAAGAGAAUUUGUUUAUGAAGGAAAGAUUAUUAUUUUAAUAGAGUUUAAAUGGUAUUAAGGCCUCAUUUGCUUCCACUUAAUGAAGGUCUAAAUCUGAAUGAUUCAAACAUUGGGCUGUUAAGUGCGUUUGUUUUUUUUAUAAAAAAAAUCACUUAAUGGAUCUAAGAACAUCUCAUUCAGUCAGAUAUAUGUGGGAGUCUUAUUUCUAUCCAAACUUUUGAACGCUAAUUUAUUUCCCCGUAAAGCUCACACAUCAUUAUGUUUUCUCUCUCUAUAUGAUGCCUCUCUCUCCCACUCUCUUCAUUAUCAGCAUAAAUUGUUUAUUAAUUUAUGUCACGAUCCAGACCGUCGGGAUUGGCACCCACGCUAACCCUCCGGUGGGAGAACCACUACUAUAAUCCAAACCAAUCAACUAAACCAAAAACUAAAGCAUUUAAGGAAACGAAAACAUGAAUAAUAUCUAAAAGCUGAAGUUCCCAUAAACUUCAAACAAAAGAUCUAAUAACUAACAAUGCGGAAAAAUACACCUAGAACCUGAACGUCAAUGUACCAAAACAUCUAAAGUUCAAGAAGUCUAAACAAGAUGAGUCACAACCCCAAACUAAUGAAAAAAUCCACUAACUAGAAAGUCUAAGUACGAAAUGGUGGAUAUAGACGAAAGAGAACCCAUGGCAGCCCGGAAGAACUGGCUCACUCUUGAAUUCAAACGAUGAUCACUGAUCUUCUAAACGAGGUCUGUCAAUGGCCGCUUGAAGAUGCCCUGUACUCAACAAAGAAAGAGCAAGUGCAGUAUCAGUACAUAAUCACAGUGUACUGAUAGGAUCACGCAGCCAUCCCACUAAGUGUAACAUAAGCAAGUCAAUAGACAUUAUAAACAUGCAAAAUAUCGAACAUAUACAAUAUCAAAUAUCACAUGCUCAAUAAUAUACAUUUAUAACAAGUCAUUGGUCCGAUCAUGGAACCCAAACCUAAACUGUUAGCAUACCGGAAUGUGGUACCCGAUCCAAUGUUUAUGCCGGAAUGUGGCAAUCGAUCCCAUAAUUAUGCCGAAACGUGGAAAUCGAUCCCAAUUAGUAUACGCUAACGGGGUAUCAAAUCCAAUCAACACACCACAAUCACAAUCACAAGUACAUUCUCAAUAAUCAUACAAUCAAGAAGUGAUUCAUGACAUAUUGUUAUUCAUCUAUCUCAUUUACAAGUGUGAUCAAUAAUGCAACAUUCGCAUACAUACAUGUAUCAUAAUGAAGAAAGAACAAACAUACAUCACACUAUCAUAGAAUCACAACCAUCACCUAUCUCGAAACAAGCUUGAAACCCUAAGAAACUUGAUCCUUCCCUUUUCGGAUUCGUUCCGCUUGUUCUUGGUCUACAAACAAUCAAUAUAAUACGGCGAUCAAUAAACAAUCACUAAUUACCCGAAUUACUAAUAAUUCUAACAACCCUAGAUCAUACCCAUGAUCUCAAGUAUCCAAAUUAGGGUUGUUUCUACCAUAUAAUCUAGAUCAAAAUCCUCCCCCAUCGAUAAUUACCCAUUGUAUUACGUUUUACGGAUUAAAUAACGGAUUCGGGGAGUGAAAAACCUACAUUUAUCCUCAAGAAUGGUGGAAAACUGCCAAGAGUCGACUGGGGUUCGGUCCUUAAUUCUAAUAAUCUAAAACUGCAGAAUAAAGUCAUUUUGGGGUUUAUUUACAACUUUAAGUCGCAUCUGGCCCACCACAAUGGUCCUCACCCCGCUACAGCGGCCCCGCCAGAGCAACAAANNNNNNNNNNNNNNNNNNNNNNNNNNNNNNNNNNNNNNNNNNNNNNNNNNNNNNNNNNNNNNNNNNNNNNNNNNNNNNNNNNNNNNNNNNNNNNNNNNNNNNNNNNNNNNNNNNNNNNNNNNNNNNNNNNNNNNNNNNNNNNNNNNNNNNNNNNNNNNNNNNNNNNNNNNNNNNACCACCGCCAAUGUGGCUUGCACAAAAUAGUGAGCUAUUUUAAUAAUUCCAAGACAACCAUUUGACAACACACCUUUAACUAACGAUGCUCAGAAAAUACCGUUCACGCUAAGAUCGAUUCCGGGAGUUCAACUCACCCGAAUUUAAUUUCGUAAAGUUGUACAGAUUCCUUAACGACUUAUCUAUCUACUCAUGUAAUCAAAAUCAUAAUUAGAUCAUCCGAUUGCUACCAGAUCUCCCUGCACCUCAAAGACUCCGAUUUCAUCCAAAUCUGGACUAGGUUGGGAAAUUUCAAGAUACUACAAAAAAGUUUUACGUCCCAAAAAAUUUUCCCGUUGGCUUUUCUAUAACGAUGGAAACUGGUCGUUACAAUAGAUACCAAUUUACCCAUCACUCGUCCCCGAGUGACAACCUUAGGAAAAAUAGGCUAAAGAAGGAAUGAAGUAGUACCUGAAUCGACGAACAAUUGGGGAUACUUGUCUCGCAUGUCCAUCUCGGUUUCCCAAGUAGCUUUCUCAACUGGACGAUGCUUCCAUUGAACUUUCACGCACUUAAUUUCCUUGGUCCUCAACUUACGCACAUCACGAUCAAGAAUUGCAAUCGGUUCCUCCUCAUAUUGAAGGUCUUUGUCUAAUACCAUUGAGUCUCACUUAAUGAUAUAAUCCGCAUCACCAUGAUACCUCUUCAACAUGGACACAUGAAAUACCGGAUGAACUCCCGAUAAAUUAGGAGGUAAAGCCCAUCUAUACGCCAUCGGUCCUAUGCAUUCGAGAACCUCAAAGGGACCAAUGUAUAGUACACUUAGCUUACCUUUCUUGCCGAAUCUCAUCACCCCUUUCAUGGGUGAUACAUUAAGAAGAACAUUCUCACCGGUUUGGAACGCCAUGUCUCUUACGUUAUGAUAUGUAUACUUCUUUUGUCUACUUUGGGCUACUAAAAGCUUAGCUUGAAUACUCCUCACCUUAUCUUGAGUAUCCUUCACUAAAUCAACCCCAAAGGUUUCACAUCUCCAACUUUGAACCAACCUAUGAGUGAUCUACAUCCCCUCCCAUAGAGUGCCUCAAAUUGUGCCAUAUCAAUGCUGGAGUGAUAACUAUUAUUAUAGGAGAACUCACACAAAGGUAUGAAUUUAUCCCAAUGCCCUCUAAAAUCAAUCACACAUGCCCUCAACAUGUCUUCUAACACUUGAAUAGUCCUCUCUUACUGCCUAUCUGUCUGUGGAUGGAAGGCUGUACUAAAAGUGAGUUGUGUGCCCAAUUCAUCAUGUAAUUUCCUCCAAAACUUGGAUGUGAAAUUGGUACCACGGUCCGAGAUGAUAGAAAGGGGCACCCCAUGCAACCUCACUAUCUCUUUCACAUUAACUUUAGACAAUUGUUCAACAUUAUAAUCUAUUUUUACCGAAAUAAAAUGGACUGACUUAGUCAAUCUAUCAACCACUAGCCAAAUAGAAUAAAACAUCCCCAAAGUCUUGGGAAGACCAACCACAAAAUCCAUGGCUAUCAUUUUCCCACUUUCAUUCCGGAAUUGACAUUCUUUGAAGCAAACCUGCAGGCCUUAGAUGUUUAUAUUUCACUUGUUGACAAUUUUGACACUUGGCCAAAAACUCCUCUAUAUCCUUUGUCAUGCCCGACCACCAAUAAAUUCGCUUCAAAUCUUGAUAGAUAUUCGUCACACCCGAAUGAAUAAAAUAUCGCGAACCGUGAGAUUCUGCCAACAAUUUCUGAAUCAUGUCAUCAUCUCGAGGAAUACAAAUUCUUCCUUUAAAACUCAGCACACUUUCCACAUUAAAAGUGGUCUCUUUUGCCUUACCAAUCGCAGUCUUCUUUCUAAGUUCCUCCAAAUUUGCAUCCUCAAACUCUUUGUCCUUGAUCUCCUCAAUGAAUGUGGCCUUUACUUCAAUGCUAGCUAACACCCUACCUCUUUCUGAGAUGCCCAAUUGCAUGAACUUAGACUUUAAGGUCUGAAUUUCCUUAGCCAGAGGUCGCUUGAUUACACUUAAGCAAGCUAAACUACCCAUACUCACCGCUUUUCGACUCAAAGCGUCUGCCACUACAUUAGCUUUACCCGAAUGGUAUUGAAUGGUGACAUCAUAAUCUUUAAGUAACUCCAUCCACCUUCGCCAUCUCAAAUUCAAAUCCUUUUGAGUGAACACAUGAUGCAAACUACGAUGAUCAGUAAACACCUCACACUUAACACCAUAGAGGUAAUGCCACCAGAUCUUAAAAAGCAAACACCACCGCUUCCAACUCCAAAUCAUGUGUUGGAUAAUUCCUCUCAUGCACCUUUAAUUAACGCGAUGCAUAAACUAUAACAUCAACACAUCACUCAAACCAGAAUGUGAAGCAUCACAAUAAAUAAUAAAAAAUUUACCCUCAAUCGGUAAUGCUAGAAUAGGUGCUGUGGUCAAAAGAGUCUUGAGCUUUUGGAAGCUCUCNNNNNNNNNNNNNNNNNNNNNNNNNNNNNNNNNNNNNNNNNNUACCCCUUCUUUUGAAACUACAUGCCCUAAAAUCGCAAUCGAAGUCAACCAAAAUUCACACUUAGAAAAUUUAGCAUACAACAUUUGUUUCCCAAGAACACCCAGAACAAUACGAAGAUGGUCGGCAUGCUCUUCCUCAUUUUUAAAAUAGUCCAAAAUAUCAUCAAUAAAGACUAUGACGAAAGAAUUAAGAAAUGUCUUGAACACCCCAUUCAUUAAACUCAUGAAAGAUGUAGGCCCAUUAGUCAAACCAAAAUACAUAACUAAAAACUCAUAGUGCCCAUAGAAUCCUAAACGUCAUCUUAGGCACAUCCUCAGGCCUAAUUUUUAAUUGAUGGUAGCCAGACCUUAGAUCAAUCUUUGAGAAAACUGAUGCACCUUGCAAUUGGUCAAAAAUAUCAUCUAUUCGAGGCAAAGGAUACUUGUUUCAAAUAGUGACCCUAUUGAAUUGCCAAUAAUCUAUACACAUUCUCAUACUACCAUCCUUUUUCUUAACAAACAAAUUGGAGAACCCAAUGGGGAAGCACUAGGACGAAUAAAUUCCUUAUCAAGAAGCUCUUGUAUUUGAGCCUUAAGCUCUCUUAAUUCUAUCGGAGCCAUGCGAUAUGGAGGGAUAGAAAUAGGACGAGUACCAAGUUCUAAAUCAAUGUAGAAGUCUAUAUCUCUAUCCGGAGGCAUACCAAACAAGUUAUUAGGAAACACUUUUCUAAAUUCUGACACCACAGGAAUAGACUCAAUAGAUGGAGUCUCAACCUCAACAUCCCGAAUAUGAGCCAAAUAAGCCAAACAACCCUGCCCUAUAAAUUUCUAAACCUAAAUGGAGGAUAUGAACUUAGCUUGCUUAGGCAUGUACACCCCUUCCCACUCUAAUUUUUUCCUUCCUAGAAUUUCUAGAGUUACAGACUUAGUAUUACAACCAAGUCAUGCCAAAGAAUAUAUCAAAAUCAGUCAUAUACAAAAUUACCAAAUCAGCCAAAGUCUGAAAACCCAUAAACAAAAUAGGACAAGCAUGAUAUACAUGGGUGACUAUGACUGACUCUCCAACUGGGUAGAAACAUGGAUGGGGGUAUCAAGUAUAUCAAAAAUCAUAGCAAAUUCCGAGGCAAAUCGCACGGAUACAUAGGAAUAAGUAGAACCCUGAUCAAAUAACACAUUAGCCAUCCGGUCACAAACAAGAAUAGUACAUGUGAUCACCGCGUCAGAUGCCUCUGCUUCACUUGCCCAGAAAGGCAUAACACUGAGCCAUAUCAUCUUGACGAGCCACUUCCUUGCCUGGUUACACGUUACCCCUGCCUGCAUUACCAUUUCCUCUACUUUCACGACCCCGCUGAUUACCUCCUCACCCACCUUGGGGACGCCCUCGACCAUUAUUACCAUUCCCCGCGGGCACCACUACUCUAGAUUGCUGCUGCAUGGAAUAUAACACACGUGGGUGGGGGUAAUAUCUCCUCAUAUGCCUAGGUUCACCACAGUUGUAACAUAUAUGAUCAAAAGAUUGCCUGCUGCCCGCUGAAGGUGCGACUCCCUGGCUAUCCAGAAUCAAAUUAUGAGGUAGAGUUCCCGAGUAAUUACCUGUAGAGGAGGGCAUAGCGGAUUGAAUUGGCUUGGCUGCAAGCGUUGGCCUCCCUGAACCUCUGGAAUAAGAACCUUGAAAGUUACCCAAGUUUUUUCCCCUUUUAGCCAAUGCCUUAGCCUGAUCGUCUCGCCUCACCCCCUCCACUUUCUUAACAUAGUGUUUACCUCAUUAAAGCUCCUCCCUGUAGAAGUCAUAUGAACAGAUCAUACUUGCAACUCAGAAUUUACUCCCAUAAUAAAUAACUGGAUCCUCUCUUCCUCAGUAGUCACCAAUUGAGUAGCAUAUCUUAACAAAGCAUGGAACUUCACCUCAUAAGUAGCCAUAUAUAUACCACCUUGAUCCAAAGCCAUGAACUCAUCCUUCUUGUGAUCCCUCAAAGUUCUAGGCACAUAUUUCUCUAGGAAUAGAGCAUGAAAUUGGGUCCAAGUAAGUGGAGGUAAAGUUGAAGAUCUACAUUCCAUAAGCUCUCCACCACUCCUUAGCCUCACCUUGAAGUUGAAAGGACACAAACACAACCCCAUAUAAAUGGACAAUUCCGAACUUAUGAAGCCUGUCAUAGCAAUCUAAGAUAAACUCAUAAGCAUCCUCAUUAUCAAAACCAAAAAACACAGGGGGCUUUAGCUUCAAAAACUUAGUCAACAUUUCAUGCUCAUUACCGGUCAUAACAGAACCUAAUAAAGGACGGAAGAAAGCAUUAUUACCUCCCGUUCCACCCACCUUGGGUGUAGUGCUAGCAAUAAGGGGAUUAGCGGGAUCUUGAGUUGCUUGAAUAGAAGGAAGCACUCCAGGCCCAACCAACCCUUUCAAGAAUGACAUAAUCUGUCGAGCCAACACUAAGUCUAUGGGAGGAACAUCGGUAGUUUCAGCCUGCACCUAUUCCUCUUGUCCAACCUCAUCAACAUUUUCAACCUCAAUAUCCUCUUCUAUCUCUUCAUGAUGUACGGGAGGGGCCUCAUUUUGCGGAGCAAUUUUGAUCGGUACCCCAUCUCUAGUAGGCGCUACUCUUCCUCGGCCUCUACCCCUGCCUCGAUCGCGGCCUCUCGCUGCAGAUUCCUCAGCUGGAGCAUUAACGGGAGCUACGAGCCUGACGACAUUGAAUCUAGUGUUAAUCAUCUGUGGACAGAAGAGUGAAGGAGGUUAGAUACCAAUUUGAAUCGCCAGAUACCAAUUGGAAUCAACUCAUAGCACGAAAGGAGAUAAGAGAAAAUAGAGCGAUUUCCUAAAGUCUUAUAGCCUCUCGAAAAAAAGUAAAGGCGUCCCCGUAGCAUUCCUUAAAACUCUACUAGCCUCACUUUCGUACAUCGAGAUCAACUAACUUAGGCUCUAAUACCAACUUUGUCACGACCUAAACCGUCAUGAUUGGCACCCACACUAAUCCUCCGGUGGGAGAAUCACUACUACAACCCAAACAAGCAACUAAACCAAAAACUAAAGCAUUUAAGGAUAAGAAAAUAGGAAUAAUAUCUAAAAACUGAAGUUCCCAUAAAUAUCAAACAAAAGAUCUAACAACUAAUAAUGCGGAAAAAUACACCUAGAACCUAAAAGUCAAUGUAUCAAAACAUCUAAAGUUCAACAAGUCUAAACAAGAUGGGUCACAACCCCAAACUAAUGAAAAAAUCUACUAACUAGAAAGUUUAAGUCCGAAAUGGUGGACAUAGAUGAAAGAGAUCCAAUGAUAGCCCGGAAGAACUGGCUCAGCCUUGAAUUAAAACGAUGAUCACCGAUAUUCUAAAGGAGAUCUGUUAAUAGCCAUUUGAAGAUGCCCUGUACAUAACAAAGAAAGUGCAAGUUCAGUAUUAGUACACAAUAACAGUGUACUAGUAGGAUCACACGGCUAUCCCACUAAGUGUAACAUAAGCAAGUCAAUACACAUUAUAAACAUGCAAAAUACCGAACAUAUACAAUAUCGAUUAUCACAUUCUCAACAAUAUACAUUUAUAUCAAGUCAUUGGUCCUCUCAUGGAACCCAAACCCAAACUGUUAGCAUAUCGAAAUGUGGUACGUGAUCCAAUGUUUAUGCCGGAACGUGACAACCGAUCCCAUAAUUAUGCCGGAACGUGGCAACCGAUCCUAACUAGUACACCGAAAUGCGAUAUCAUAUCCAAUCAACACACCACAAUCACAGUUGAUGAUUCCACAAAUUGGACUAAUUUAGGGCCUUAUUUUGAUAAAAAUAGUGUCCUCAAAUGCUUAUUUCGUCUUAAUAUCUGAUGAAAACCCUUAAGUUUCAGGUAUUUGAAGUUUUGGUGGAAUCAUGGACACUUAGGCGCAGAAAGGAACAAAAAGGCUGAAAAGAACGAAGAAGCUGAAGCCUGCGUAUCGCCAAGCACACUUGGUGACUCACCGAAAGUAUGCACUCCGCCCUUUGUUCCAGUCACGAAGCACUGAAGGAGAAGGAGAAGGAUAAAAAAGGCGAUGAAAGGAGCAAUCGACGCUUCACCGAAUACUUUUGCGAAGCAGUACUAUACCACCCAAUGACACAGAGCACGACGACGCUAAAGGCUAGUGCAAGAUAGUGACAAACUACACCAAAGGGCGAAUCGCCGAGUUAAUCGGCGAUUCCGACUAACCUCGCCGAAAGAUUCGCCAGCACUAUUUUCUGAAGUCUAUAAAUACUAAACUUGUUAUUAAUUUUUAAAGAGUUAUUAUUAUAAUUUUCCGAAUAGAAUAGUAGUUUUUAGGAUAUUUUUCUCUCAAGUUUGGAGAGGGUUUUGUUGCAGACUUGAAGAAAGAAGAAUUUCAUUUUCCCCAAGUUGAAAGUGGGUCUUCUCAAUUCUUCUUCUUUUGCUUAAAUCAAG
rnacentral:lncRNA from 1 species